UGGGGAAUAUUGCACAAUGGGGGAAACCCUGAUGCAGCAACGCCGCGUGAAUGAUGAAGGCCUUCGGGUCGUAAAGUUCUUUGAUUGGGGACGAUAAUGACGGUACCCAAAAAACAAGCCACGGCUAACUACGUGCCAGCAGCCGCGGUAAUACGUAGGUGGCGAGCGUUGUCCGGAUUUACUGGGCGUAAAGGAUGCGUAGGUGGAAACUUAAGUGGGAUGUGAAAUCCCCGGGCUCAACCCGGGAACUGCAUUCCAAACUGGGUAUCUAGAGUGCAGGAGAGGAAAGCGGAAUUCCUAGUGUAGCGGUGAAAUGCGUAGAUAUUAGGAAGAACACCAGUGGCGAAGGCGGCUUUCUGGACUGUAACUGACACUGAGGCAUGAAAGCGUGGGGAGCAAACA
rnacentral:rRNA from 1 species